rnacentral:lncRNA from 1 species
AGGAAUGCUUCUUUGUCUCUGUGUGGUCUCUUCAGCAUAGCAACAGCAGCGUAGCUGAACAUCUUACGGAUGGCCCAGGGCUCCAAAGGCUCGUUUCCUAAGUGAGAGAGAGCCUGGCUGAAGCUGUAUUACCAUUCAUUCUCCAGCCUCCGAAGUCUCAAAGCAUCACUUCCACCAUACUCUAACUGUCAAGACAAACACAAAGGCCCAGAAACUGCCAGACUGUCUUCUGAAGUGGCUAUAAUAUUUACACUCCCAUCAGCAGUGUAGAAGGGGUCUCACUAUGUUGUCUGGAGUGCUGUGGUGGAGUGGAGUGGCUAUUCACAGAGCCUGUUCUGCUGGGACACAGAAUCACUUGCUCCAUCUCAUACAUUGAUGAUGAUUAAUUUGUAUGUGUACCUUCCAAAAAAGAUGGUUGUGUUUGAAUGGAGGCCUUCUGGACAGGAAAAUUGCAAAGUACAAUUAACAUUUGAGUCUGUCUGAGUCAUGAAGAAAUGGAGAUUACUGAAAAUAAUUCAUUUUGGUAUCUUCUUACAUCCUGAGAGACUAAUCUUUCCAAGUUCAUCUGAGGCUCCUCUUCUCCAUGACAACCUCAUCCAGGGAUUUCUUCCUGUCCUGGUGUUUUAUGACAUAAUCACAUCCUUCCUGAGAUAAUGAGCACACAAUUGCCUGGAUACCUGAAGGAAUGGAGACAGCGGCAGAAAACACUGCAGAGAGGUGGAAACAUCCGUUAAUAUUUUAAAAUCCCAUUACUGCUACCAACAAUAAUAAUGGAUGCAUAGAAAUAGAUCUGGAUUAGCUGAGCUUGAAACAGUCCAUCUCACACACACACAAAAGAAUUUCAGAUACAGUGAACCCACAUGUUGAAGCUUUCUAGUAUAAUAAAAAUUUCAACUGUUCUGUUGAAUCAUCUGCCUGAUUGGAGGCUACAGAAAAGAUGUCAUCUUAGGAGUGCUUGCUCUGAGUGAGGCUCAUCUUCAAAUCUGAAUGACCACAAGGAGAUUUGAUUAUACAUGUGAACACCUCAGAAGGCACAGCCCACCCAGAAGGCAGACAGGUCAGGCUGCUUUUUCUUCAUUGCUUGGAUUCAAUCCUCCGGGCGGCUCAGGCUCAAACAUAACUUAAGCAUGAUUAAACUUUAGAAGAAGCUGCCAGGAAGACUGUGAAAUCUUCAUGCCCAAGGAUCCCUAAAAUUAGGAGCAACAACCACUUGGCUCAGACGGUUUAUGGAGGCAAAGGUUUGGAUGGGAUUAGAGAUUUCUAAAUGUGAGUUCGUGUCCUCUGCCAGACCACCUUACUUCCACCAUUCCUCAGCAAAUCAAGAAAAACAGGAGAAAAGACAUGCCUUUCCAUAAGUUAAAUCUAUUCUGUUUUAAUUCUAUAUUAUAUCUGCUGUACAACUUCUUUUGUUUGUAACACCAUAUUGUUGCUAGUAACUGGAAAUUAAUUUUCACAUGCCUCAGCUUAGAAAAAUAAAAAGCAGCCCUGCAUCAAUCCCAAUUUC